UGGAACAGAUUCUGUGAUGAAGGCUGGACCCCCGAACCCUCCGUUGCAGGAGUGAAGUCUGAAGCAGAAGGAGCACAGCCUUGACUCCCGUGCUUGGGCAGGAUUCAUACAGCCAGCACUGAGGAAAUCGCCGCUUCUGAUUUAUGAGCUGGCAAGAUAUGAGGUCAGCAAGUAUUUGAAGGAGACUCCAUCCCUCCAGAAGAUGGGCUUGAUGGGUACGGAACGUGCUGAGCGCCUGAUGGGACUGGGUCCUGUUUGACUGCCAGACCUGCUGGAGCCUGGCAGACGCUGGGUGCCUGGGGCACUCCUACGGCAUGCAGCGAGCUGCAGGGCCUUUGCCCUGCUGCUGCCGCCGCCUUCUGCAGAAAUCCUCUCCUCGGCAGCUUUUUACUACACUUCUCACAGCUUAUGUCUCAGCGUGGACUAGCAGAGGUGCCUAAGCAGAUAAGAAUAA